rnacentral:sRNA from 1 species
AUCUGCUGUGGGCAGAUGAAAUGGAUAUGGCUGUCAAAACCGCCCGCUGUCAGGAUAUGGCCCUCACCGGCAAUGGCCUCAGUUGACGGGCCAAUGAUGAUAUUGACGCCUUCCUGGGUGUCGGGGUUACCGGCCUUGCCAAUGGCGUGAAUGAUCCCGUCCUUCAGCCCGACAUCCGCCUUGUAGAUACCGCUGGCAUCGACAAUCAGCGCGUUGGUGAUGACGGUAUCGACCGCGCCAUCAGCACGCGAUACCUGGGACUGGCCCAUGCCAUCCCU